rnacentral:rRNA from 1 species
UACAGAGGUCUCAAGCGUUGUUCGGAUUCAUUGGGCGUAAAGGGUGUGUAGGUGGCGCGCUAAGUCGGGUGUGAAAUUUCGGAGCUUAACUCCGAAACUGCAUUCGAUACUGCCGUGCUUGAGGACUGGAGAGGAGACUGGAAUUUACGGUGUAGCGGUGAAAUGCGUAGAUAUCGUAAGGAACACCGGUGGCGAAGGCGGGUCUCUGGGCAAUUCCUGACGCUGGAGGCGCGAAAGCGUGGGGAGCAAACGGG